CCUAGGAUCAUGAAGCUUCAUGGGUAGAUUGAUCAUGACUUGCAGAUGACCCCUAUUGAUUUUGAGGUCACAAGGUCAAAGGUCAAGGUCACGGUCACCCGAAAUAGUAAAAUGAUUUUCGGAUGAUAACUCAAGAACGCUUUUGCCUAGGAUCAUGACACUUCAUAGGUACAUUAAUCGUGACCCGCAGAUGACCCCUAUUGAUUUUCAGGUCACUAGGUCAAAGGUCAAGGUCACAGUGACAAAAUUCGUAUUCACACAAUGGCUGCCACUACAAAGGAAAGCCCGUAUGGGGGGCAUGCAUGUUUUACAAACAGCCUUUGUUUACUUUUAAAGUACCUUGGGCCUCUUUCAGGUUGUAUUUCAUGCAGUUAAAGUUCAACUAUCGAGUGAUCAGCCAUAAAUCCUGGUUUUAUGUUGCAUGUGUCGAUAAUGUUUCAAAUAGAUUCGCAUAUUUAAAAAAAUCUUAUCUCCAAAAUAUUGCUGGUUUUGUAUUUGAGUGCCAGGUGAAUUUUCUUUCAUUAUGAUUAACUGUAUGCCAUAUGUCUAUCAAAUUGUAGUUUUCAAUUAUGUUAUGUAAAAUGUUCCUUUUUUUGGAGUGAGUAUAAAGAUUUUCACUUCUUUUAUCUCUUAUAAUGGGUUAAGAAUAUUAUUGAAAUCCUCUCCAACUAUAAUGUUCUUAUCUUGGUUAUUUAUUAUAACAUUUGGAUUCAUCUAUGUUCGGACCGUAAACGUUCAUUAAUGUUAAUUGUGUUUCGUGUAUUUUUAUAUCUAUACUUGCUUGUCUGCCAAUCAUUAUUUUCGUUCAAGUAAUCCACUGUUAUUCCUGUAUGACUUUUACUCAGACAAGCGAUGCCUUGUUUAUUUGUAUGUUGUCCGCUAAGAUAAAUAUCUCCGUCCCAACCACUUUUCAAUGUUUUUGCUAAGGUAUGUUUUAGGUGACUUUCCUGUAUAAAAAAGACAUAUAUUACUUUUUUUUUGUCUUACCAUUUGAAACUUUUAGUGCAUUUGUCUUUGUUAUUUAGCCCUUGUACAUUUACAGUACAUAUGUUAAUACUCACACAAAAGGACGAGAAUUGCAGGAUACCAUUCUUGUUCCAAACAUUUUAAAAUCAUUUUGUAGAGCUAGAUUAUUAGUUAGUAGUUCAUUAUGUCAAGUUAUAUUAAGCUUUGAUGUUAAAAACAAUUACCUUCAAUGUUCUACAGGUUGUUGAUACAUUGUGUUUAUUAAAUUGAUCUCAGCA